rnacentral:tRNA from 1 species
GCGUACAUGGUUUAGUGGUAAAAUCCAUCGUUGCCAUGAUUAUCUCUGAUAUCCUUGAUUCGAUGGGCCCCCGGUUCGAUUCCGGGUGUACGCA